GUUUCCUAAAAAAUGAAAAGAAUAUCUUAAAAAGUAAUUUAUUACGAUAAUGUUUUCAGGAAAAUGCACAGCAUUUCUGGAAAGUUUAGAAUAUUAUCAUGACAGCUACCAGGUAUCUCGUGGCAGUUCCAAGAACUAACACGGCGUUUUUGCGCUAAAACAUUUUCAAAAAUGAUGCUGGAAAGGUAACAUAUAUUAGCAGAAACGUAAGUAGUCUGGUUGAUUAUGUCAUAUGUAGUCCGUCAAUUGUGGACUUAUUUCAGAGUUUUAAUGUUCAGGGACCAUGUAUCUUGUCCGAUCAUUGUGUUUAGAAUUUUACUUUACAUUGUGUUAUCUCUACAGAUGAAAACAGAAAAACCGAUACCUCUUAUAAAUGGGAUACUAAUAAAACUGAAAAAUAUGAAGAAAAAUAAACAGCGAGAAUUUCAUCUCAGAAUUAAAUAAUUUAACAAGCUGUUUAAAUGAUGAAAGUAAUCCAUCUUCAAUCGAUAGAAAUCUUUUACAUUUUUCAAACAUUAUGCACAGUGUUUGCGCACCAUAUUUUAAAAAAGAUUAUAAAAUCGGAGUUACGUAAACCUUCCGCCACGGAUUUAAAAUAAAACAUAGUUUGAUGAAGAAUGUUCAUUAAAAAGAGACAGAUUUUAUUGUGAUUGAAAUAGGUUUUGAGAAAAUAGGUCAGAUAGUAACAGAGUAAAACUUAUUAAAUCAAUGUCGGAUUAUGAAAAGACUAUAAGACAGAAACAAUUUAAUGAACGUAAGCGUAAUACAAACAAAUAGUUAAGAAGAAAAUCAUUUCAGCGUUUUAUUCAGAGUUUAGAAUAUAUGAAUGUUAAUAAUUUGAUAUAUAAUGAUUAAGUGACCUUGUGAAAUCGAUCAGAUACAAGCUCUUUAAACUCUACUGAAAUAAGAUCUAAAAUUCUGAUAACUUGCAAACACAUCUUUUUCUGUAGGUACUUUUGUACAUUAUAAGAUAUAUUAUUAUUAAACUUUGCUAAAGAUAUGUUUAUAUGUAUUACCAAGCUAGUGUUUAGAGUUUUGGAUGUAAUGAUAAGAACAUAAUUAUUGGGAUGCAUUAAGUCCUCCAUAGGUAGAUCAAAUUUACAAAUGGUCUUACAAUUCUCUUUAUCAGCAAUAUCAGAACCACAUGUUUGUAUUUAUAAACAGAACUACUGGCCCCUUAAAACUCAAAAUAAUCUUCUCACAGAUAACAUCAGCAUCAAAAUGCAUGAUGAGUGGCUGAGGUUAUCUACAUGUAACAUAGUAACAGUUCAGUCAAUCAUUCUGUAGUAACCGCCUACUAUGCACUUGCCGAUGUUAUUAUCUAGGAAAUGGCACAAGAUUCGCCGAGGAAAAUGUCUAAAUCUAAUACACGUAGAGUUUUCUAACAGUUUGCAAAAUACAUGUGACGGAAUUAACGAGUAAUUUUAACUCAAUAAAUGAUGUUUUAUAUGAUACUACGUUUUGAAUUUACUUGGAGAAGCCAAUAAAAAAGGUUGAUGUUGAACCUUCAUAUAUGGCUACCUGACAGGAUGGGAAAAGAUCUGGUAGACUGGCAAAAGAAGAAUGUGAAUAUCUGACUAUGAGGAAUCAUGAACUAUUUUCUCUAAAAGAGGAAUAACGUUAUGCUUAAUUGUUUUACCAUUUGCCAAUUAAAGGACAGAAACAUGUAGAUACUUAAUAAUAUUACAACAAUAUAUUGUUGAGUAAGAUCAAAGCUCAUAUGAAAUAAAUAUAUAUUAAACUUUAUUUCACAUAGACAUGCAAACAUUUUCAUAAAGCGAUCAUUCAUAACAUGUUUUGUUUCAUCUUG